rnacentral:rRNA from 1 species
UAACGCGUGAGGAACCUGCCUUUCAGAGGGGGACAACAGUUGGAAACGACUGCUAAUACCGCAUAAUACGCGGGUGUCGCAUGGCAUCUGCGUCAAAGAUUUAUCGCUGAGAGAUGGCCUCGCGUCUGAUUAGCUAGUUGGUGAGGUAACGGCCCACCAAGGCGACGAUCAGUAGCCGGACUGAGAGGUUGGCCGGCCACAUUGGGACUGAGAUACGGCCCAGACUCCUACGGGAGGCAGCAG